GUAGGAGAGGGAUAGAUAUGGCUGUAGAUGGGUAGGAGAGGAGAGGGAUAGAUAUGGCUGUAGAUGGGUAGGAGAGGAGAGGGAUAGAUAUGGCUGUAGAUGGGUAGGAGAGGAGAGGGAUAGAUAUGGCUGUAGAUGGGUAGGAGAGGAGAGGGAUAGAUAUGGCUGUAGAUGGGUAGGAGAGGAGAGGGAUAGAUAUGGCUGUAGAUGGGUAGGAGAGGAGAGGGAUAGAUGUGGCUGUAGAUGGGGAGGAGAAGGAUAGAUAUGGCUGUAGAUGGGGAGGAGAGGAGAGGGAUAUAUAUGGCUGUAGAUGGGUAGGAGAGGAGAGGGAUAGAUGUGGCUGUAGAUGGGUAGGAGAGGAGAGGGAUAGAUGUGGCUGUAGAUGGGUAGGAGAGGGAUAGAUAUGGCUGUAGAUGGGGCGGAGAGGGAUAGAUAUGGCUGUAGAUGGUUAGGAGAGGAGAGGGAUAGAUAUGGCUGUAGAUGGGUAGGAGAGGAGAGGGAUAGAUAUGGCUGUAG
rnacentral:lncRNA from 1 species